rnacentral:rRNA from 1 species
AGAGUUUGAUCCUGGCUCAGAACGAACGCUGGCGGCAGGCCUAACACAUGCAAGUCGAACGAACUGAGGCCUUCGGGUCUCUAUGUUAGUGGCGCACGGGUGAGUAACGCGUGGGAACGUACCCUUUAGUACGGAAUAACGCAGGGAAACUUGCGCUAAUACCGUAUACGCCCUUCGGGGGAAAGAUUUAUCGCUAAAGGAUCGGCCCGCGUCUGAUUAGGUAGUUGGUGAGGUAACGGCUCACCAAGCCGACGAUCAGUAGCUGGUCUGAGAGGAUGAUCAGCCACACUGGGACUGAGACACGGCCCAGACUCCUACGGGAGGCAGCAGUGGGGAAUAUUGGACAAUGGGCGCAAGCCUGAUCCAGCCAUGCCGCGUGAGUGAUGAAGGCCCUAGGGUUGUAAAGCUCUUUCAACGGUGAAGAUAAUGACGGUAACCGUAGAAGAAGCCCCGGCUAACUUCGUGCCAGCAGCCGCGGUAAA